rnacentral:rRNA from 1 species
AGGAUGAACGCUGGCGGCGUGCUUAACACAUGCAAGUCGAACGAUGAAGGCUGGAGCUUGCUCUGGCUGGAUUAGUGGCGAACGGGUGAGUAACACGUGAGUAACCUGCCCCCGGCUCUGGGAUAAGCGCUGGAAACGGCGUCUAAUACCGGAUACGAGCUUCCGCCGCAUGGUGAGGAGCUAGGAAA